rnacentral:rRNA from 1 species
AGGAUGAACGCUGGCGGCGUGCCUAACACAUGCAAGUCGAACGUCCUGUCUCGCAAGAGGCAGGGAGUGGCGGACGGGUGAGUACCACGUGGGUCAUCUACCGUGAGGUGAGGAAUACCGGCGAGAAAUCGCCGACAAGACCGCAUAGGCUCGAUGCAAGUCGAGCAAAGCUCUUUCGAGAGAGGGAGCGCCACACGAGGAGCCUGCGCCCGAUUAGCUAGCUGGUGGAGUAACGGCUCACCAAGGCUUCGACGGGUAGCCGGCCUGAGAGGGCGACCGGCCACACUGGGACUGAGAUACGGCCCAGACUCCUACGGGAGGCAGCAGUGGGGAAUAUUGCACAAUGGGCGCAAGCCUGAUGCAGCAACGCCGCGUGCGGGAUGACGGCCUUCGGGUUGUAAACCGCUUUCAGUAGGGACGAAGCUAACGUGACGGUACCUACAGAAGAAGGACCGGCUAACUACGUGCCAGCAGCCG